AAAGGCGCUUUCGGGUGUCGCUGAUGGAUGGACCCGCGGUGCAUUAGCUAGUUGGUGAGGUAACGGCUCACCAAGGCGACGAUGCAUAGCCGACCUGAGAGGGUGAUCGGCCACAUUGGGACUGAGACACGGCCCAAACUCCUACGGGAGGCAGCAGUAGGGAAUCUUCGGCAAUGGACGAAAGUCUGACCGAGCAACGCCGCGUGAGUGAAGAAGGUUUUCGGAUCGUAAAACUCUGUUGUUAGAGAAGAACAAGGAUGAGAGUAACUGUUCAUCCCUUGACGGUAUCUAACCAGAAAGCCACGGCUAACUACGUGCCAGCAGCCGCGGUAAUACGUAGGUGGCAAGCGUUGUCCGGAUUUAUUGGGCGUAAAGCGAGCGCAGGCGGUUUCUUAAGUCUGAUGUGAAAGCCCCCGGCUCAACCGGGGAGGGUCAUUGGAAACUGGGAGACUUGAGUGCAGAAGAGGAGAGUGGAAUUCCAUGUGUAGCGGUGAAAUGCGUAGAUAUAUGGAGGAACACCAGUGGCGAAGGCGGCUCUCUGGUCUGUAACUGACGCUGAGGCUCGAAAGCGUGGGGAGCAAACAGGAUUAGAUACCCUGGUAGUCCACGCCGU
rnacentral:rRNA from 1 species